rnacentral:lncRNA from 1 species
CCCGUCUGCUGGCUUGGCUUGGCACGGCGCAGUCUGCUGGCUUGGCUUGGCACGGCGCAGUCUGCUGGCUUGGCUUGGCACGGCGCAGUCUGCUGGCUUGGUGGAAUGUUGGACAAUGUAAUAUACGAUGACAUCCUGAUCAUCAAUCUGCAGUGUUCUCUCUCGCUCGUCUUUCACUUCUCUCUCUCUCGUCUCCUUUGCUCUCUUCACGACAACAGGAGCAAAUCGUUGAAUGACAUCAGGCGGUUCCCGUCGCCUACGCAAGUGGUGCGCCAGGUUUCUGAGGGUGGCAUGGAGCUGAGCCCCAGCGCCGUGAGCCAAGACCAGCUGCAGAUGGCCAGAGCCCGGGUCCACGAGAGUGAGGCCAAGUGGCACAAUGACCUGACCAAGUGGAAGCUCCGGCGGCACAGGUCUAACUGUGACCUGCGGAGGAAGAUGCAGGAGAGGGACAACAUCGUCCUGAUGGCCAACGCAGGGGUCAGUACAGUCGGGACGUUCAAUAGUCUGCAAGAGGACAGGGAAGAGGAUGAGUCCCUGUGCAGCAAUGGCCACAAGGUCUCUCCGUCCACCGCGUUCAAGGAGGGGUCCCUGGAGCUCCGACCCCACACCAGAGCCCCCACCUCGGUAAGUGAGGGUUCCCUGGUGCUCCGACCCCACACCAGAGCCCCCACCUCGGUAAGUGAGGGUUCCCUGGAGCUCCGACCCCACACCAGAGCUCCGCUGGCCCUCAGCUCCUCUGUGGAGUCACCCUACAGCCCCGUAGCGUCGGAACCCUUCACCGCCCCCAGCGUGACCCUCCAGGGACCCGGAGCCGUGCCCCAAUCAGAGCCCCUCGUCCUAGGGGGGAGGAGUCACACACUGGUGGAGCCAGACGGAGCUGGAGGAUUGGUCACUUUCCCCAACUCUGCCUCUCCCAUCUCCUCCCAGACCAUCUCUAGCCCAGCUCUCUUCAUCGCCACUGGACGAGACCACAACGUCUCCUUGCUCUCAAAUGGGAUCCCGACGACCCUCCCUGGAUCUAGCUCCAGUCUUACUACUGGUACCAGUUCUUCUCUAACUACCUCUGACCCGGUGAACGGUACCAGCUCUAACCUAACCAUCGAUACCGGCCCCUGUGCCUCCAUGGACAUCCCAGACCACGUCCUCCUCUCUACUGUAGAGUCCCUGACCUCGGUGGGAGCCUCGGGUCAUGUCUCAGCUCCCCAGCAGCAGGAGCUUCCCCUCUACAGGUACAGCUCCAGGGCUCCGGGAGGAAGAGGAAGAGGGGCAUCUGCCUCUCUCCCCAGGGGAUACCGCCGGUCUGAGGGCUCWUCGUCCUGCCUCUCUGCCGGCUUCACCCCCCGACCGUUUGGAGCCAAGUCCUCCAGAGUGUCCUCGCUACCCAGGCUCUACAAUUUGGAGAAGACUGCUUCCACACGCCCCCAGAAAAUGGUCACUAUCUCAGAGGUCGCUGUCAGGGCUCUGCCCUGGGCCACAGCCAAUCGGAGCAGUGUGAACCAGGAAGUAGAGGGUGGGAUUCAGACCCAGCCCUCCAUCCUGAAGACCAGAGGGGUUCCUGGACCUGCCACCCACCCCAAACCCUUACCCCCUUCUCUCCUGCCCAGCAUCCCUGUCUCAGUCAGACAGAAUGGCUCUGCACAGGUGAGCUCAACAGUCUAUACCUUGUGAAACACAUCAUCCGUACCUGGACUGUCUUAAUUAGGGCCAGAGUUUUACCCAACUGUUUAUUUCUCCUUUAUUUAACCAGGUCGGCCAGUUGAGAACAAGUUCUCAUUUACAACUGCAACCUGGUCAAGAUAAAGCAAAGCAGUGCGAUACAAACACAGUUACACAUUGAAUAAACAAACCUAGUCAAUAACACAAUAKGGAAGUCAGUGUGCACAUGAGGUAGGACAAGGGAGGGAAGGCAAUAAAGAGGCCAUUGUGGSGAAAAAAUUACAAUAUAGCAAUUACACUGGAGUGGUAGAUGUUGCAGAAGAKAAAUGUGCAAGUAGAGAUACUGGGGUGCAAAGGAGCAUAAUAACAAUUUGGGGAUGAGGUAGUUGGUUGGGCUAUUUACAGAUGGGCUUUAUAGAGGUGCAGUGAUCUGUAAGCUGCUCUGACAGCUGAUGCUUAAAGUUAGAGAGGGAGAUAUGAGUCUCCAGCUUCAGUGAUUUUUGCAGUUCGUUCCAAUCAUUGGCAGCAGAGAACUGGAAGGAAAGGCGGCCAAAGGAGGAAUUGGCUUUGGAGGUGACCAGUGAGAUAUACCUGCUGGAGCGUGUACUACGGGUGGGUGCUGCUAUGGUGACCAGUGAGCUGAGAUAAGGUGGGGCUUUACCUAGCAUAUACUUAUAGAUGACCUGGAGCCAGUGGGUUUGGUGACAAAUAUGUAGCGAGGGCCUGCCAAUGAGAGCGUACAGGUCGCAGUGGUGUGUAGUAUAUGGGGCUUUGGUGACACAACGGAUGGCACUGUGAAAGACUGCAUCCAAUCUGCUGAGUAGUGUUGCAGACUCUCCUAAGUCAAGGAUCGGUAGGAUAGUCAGUUGU